AAUGAACGGUGGCGGCGUGCUUAUUCCAUGCAAGUCGAGCGAGAACUGGCUUCGGCCAGGGAGAGCGGCGAAAGGGUGAGUAUAAAUAGGUAAUCUACCGUCAAGAGGGGGAUAACAGUCCGAAAGGGCUGGUAAUACCGCGUAAAGUUGACACUUCAAAUGGAGAGUUAAUGAAAGCAGGGGAUCUUCGGACCUUGUGCUUGAUGAGGAGCCUAUUUCCUAUUAGCUAGUUGGUAGCGUAAGGGACUACCAAGGCAACGAUGGGUAGCCGGCCUGAGAGGGUGAACGGCCACACGGGCACUGAGACACGGGCCCG
rnacentral:rRNA from 1 species